rnacentral:rRNA from 1 species
GUGGGGAAUAUUGGACAAUGGACGAAAGCCUGAUCCAGCCAUGCCGCGUGUGUGAAGAAGGUCUUCGGAUUGUAAAGCACUUUAAGUUGGGAGGAAGGGCAGUAAGUUAAUACCUUGCUGUUUUGACGUUACCGACAGAAUAAGCACCGGCUAACUUCGUGCCAGCAGCCGCGGUAAUACGAAGGGUGCAAGCGUUAAUCGGAAUUACUGGGCGUAAAGCGCGCGUAGGUGGUUUUGUAAGUUGGAGGUGAAAUCCCCGGGCUCAACCUGGGAACUUCCUCCAAAACUGCAUGACUAGAGUACGGUAGAGGGUAGUGGAAUUUCCUGUGUAGCGGUGAAAUGCGUAGAUAUAGGAAGGAACACCAGUGGCGAAGGCGACUACCUGGACUGAUACUGACACUGAGGUGCGAAAGCGUGGGGAGCAAACAGGAUUAGAAACCCUGGUAGUCC